CACACAAGUAAAAUUCAUUUCUUUUUUGGUCAUUUGAAACCGUUGCAUAUUUGCGGACAAUUUGAGAUUUCGCUAUAUAAACCAUUUACGUUAGUGUCAAUACACUUAAUAGUUUAACAAACGCAUAAUCGGUUGACAAGUUGUGACAAAAAACAUUUUAAGACAAGAAAAAAGGGCAAAUAUUCAAAAUUGUCUUUCACGGGAAUUUACAACAAAUCGGGACACAAGACUCUGAUACAGAUGUCAUUAACUAUUACAGCAGUGGUACUUAAGCGCAGUGCGUCACCUUGCUAUAUAUUCCACUGAAUUCCACUUAAGUAGGGGCUAUUGGAGGAGUGAGGAGACCUGCAUAUUUCAUUACCCCUGAUGAACAAACUCAAUCCACCCUAGCCUGCUGUUAUGUACUUCGGUUACAUUUUAUGCUACUAAAUAACCUUCUUAUAGAGUUCAUCAAAAGAUACAAGGACAUGAUCCCAUUCUAUCAAGCUGACAUGGCGCAUAGAUGAGUAUUAUUGCAGGCAGAACCAUCAUAUAAUCAUUUCACAUCCUGGUUUAUGCAGUCAUAAAAUAACUCGUGCAAAUAAAAGG